GCGGCGAUGACGCGCGACCUAGCUGCAAAUUGCAGCCGGUCACAGGAGGGUCAGCUCGACAAUUGCCAGCAAUUGACGGCAAUUAGGGACAGGAGCCGUGACGGUCGUGAUUUCGUCGACGAACGGGACAGUGACUCGGCUCGGCCAGACGCCUUUCGAUCCACGGGGAUGUGCUCCAAUUUAGAAGGUGUUUCUGUUUCCACGCCGGAGGAUGAAUUCUUGUUUAUCGAGGAGCGCGGCCGGGACCGUUUUGGUCUCUUUGGCCACGGGCUCUGCCACGAAUCGGGACUUUAACGUCCCACCUCCUCCGGGCCGCCUCCGGUCUCUCCUUAUCGUCCCUUUCCACUGAAUGACGUCAUUGUCUCGCCUCCCUGAAAGCUGCGAGCGGUGCGCGAGCAUACGUACAAUAUUUUGGCAGACGUCGCCGUCCGGGCCUCCUGACUCACUCAAAAAGAGAACACUUCAGCCAUUGUGCACCGGGUCCAUCCUACUGGCGCGUCCACAACGGCGAAACCGGUGACACGCGAGUUUCCGAUGGGCUGUCGAUCGAUAUACGACUCGAAUGAAUCAUGGGAUUAUCGCACACACGAGAUGCUCCGAAGUUCUGAUCCAAUAACACGGAAACUCGGAACGCUUCGCGGCACAGUCCACGCUGUGACACAGUCUCCCGAAGGGGGCGGGGGGAAAUCGGCUACUAGUUAGUUAUGUUCGACUCCAACAGUGUUCGAAGUGGAAAGUGAAAUAAAUGUUGAUUAGAGAAAGGAAGAAGAUUCGAGAUAAAAGACUGUCUUCCUUUUUUAAUAGUUCUGCUUUUUCUAAAAGUGCGGAAAACGAUUCAUACGUGUCCCUUUUGUAAGAAUAAUUGGGCUGGAUUAAUUUAGACUGUUUGCUUAUUUUUAUUAAAAUCUAUGCUUGAGGUAAGAAAUUUAUAUAAUCAUUUCCUUACGAUCAUUUCCUUUGCGUCUACAACGAUUUUCAGAUACAAAGUGGAAGCGUGAACUUUUUAACAUUUGCGUUUGCAGAAUCUUUCAAGUCGAUUUUAUUUACCGUGUCAUUUUGUAACAUUAUAAGGUAUUUUAUUCGGUGAAAUAUGUAAAAACUGCACAGAAAAUGUA